GACGUAGGGCGCGAGCGUUGUCCGGAUUUAUUGGGCGUAAAGGGCGCGUAGGCGGUCACGCACGUCCGUUGUGAAAUCGCUCGGCUCAACUGGGCGGGGUCAGCGGAUACGGCGUGGCUGGAGCAAGCUAGGGGGCAAUGGAAUUCCCGGUGUAGUGGUGGAAUGCGUAGAUAUCGGGAGGAACACCAGUGGCGAAGGCGGUUGCCUGGAGCUUUGCUGACGCUGAUGCGCGAAAGCGUGGGGAGCGAUCCGG
rnacentral:rRNA from 1 species